rnacentral:snRNA from 1 species
AGCUUUGCGCAGUGGCAGUAUCGUAGCCAAUGAGGUUUAUCCAAGGCGCGAUUGUUGCUAAUUGAAGAAAAAGUGGACAAGGAAGCUGGGAAGAUGACGGCAGACAAAUGCACAAACAAUUGCUCCUGGGUUGAACCCUAUGAACAAAG